CUUAUGGGGCCGAACCCCUCUGCGUCCCUGUGGGUCAGCAGUGGGGGGGGAACGGGGAUGGGGAGGGGAAUUGGGAUUGGGGAUGGGGUGAGGAUGGGAAUUGGGAUGUUGAUGGGGAUGGGAUUUGGGAUGGGGAUUGGGAUGAGAAUUGGGAUGGGAACUGGAAUAGGAACUGGGAUGGGAACUGGGAUGGGGAUUGGGAUGGAAACGGGAUAAGGAUUGGGAUGGGAAUUGGGACAGGAAUUGGGAUGGGGAUUGGGAUGGAAACAGGAUGGGAACUGGGAUGGGAACUGGAAUGGGAAUGGGAUGGGGAAUGGGAUGGGAAUGGGAUGGGGAUUGGGAUGGGAACUGGGAUGGGAACUGGGAUGGGAACUGGGAUGGGAACUGGGAUGGGAAUGGGAUGGGAACUGGGAUGGGGAUUGGGAUGGGAAUGGGAUGGGAACUGGGAAUAGGAAUUGCGAUGGGAAUAGGGGUGGGAUGGGAUAAGGGUGGAAACUGGGAGGGGAUGGGAUGGGAAUUGAGAAGGGGGUGGGAUGGGAUUGGGAUGGGAACAGGAAUAGGGUGGGGUGGGAACUGGGAAUGAUGGGAAUGGGGACAGGGAGCGGUGGGAUGGGAACUGGGAGCAAUGGGGUGGAAUGGGGAGUAACGGGACGGGAACUGGGAGUGAUGGGACGGGAACUGGGAGUGAUGGGAUGGGAACUGGGAGCAGUGGGGUGGGGGCAGUAGGAUGGGGGCAGUAGGAUGGGGAUGGGAGCAGUGGGGUGGGGAUGGGGGCAGUGGGAU
rnacentral:lncRNA from 1 species